GACGAACGCUGGCGGCGUGCUUAACACAUGCAAGUCGAACGCUGAAGCUCAGCUUGCUGGGUGGAUGAGUGGCGAACGGGUGAGUAACACGUGAGUAACCUGCCCUCUUCUUUGGGAUAACGCCCGGAAACGGGUGCUAAUACUGGAUAUUCACUGAUUCUCGCAUGGGGGUUGGUGGAAAGUUUUUUUCUGGUGGGGGAUGGGCUCGCGGCCUAUCAGCUUGUUGGUGGGGUGAUGGCCUACCAAGGCUUUGACGGGUAGCCGGCCUGAGAGGGUGACCGGUCACAUUGGGACUGAGAUACGGCCCAGACUCGUACGGGAGGCAGCAGUGGGGAAUAUUGCACAAUGGGCGAAAGCCUGAUGCAGCGACGCCGCGUGAGGGAUGGAGGCCUUCGGGUUGUAAACCUCUUUCGCUCAUGGUCAAGCCGCAGCUUUGGGUUGUGGUGAGGGUAGUGGGUAAAGAAGCGCCGGCUAACUACGUG
rnacentral:rRNA from 1 species